UUCAAACUUGGGUCCCACGUUUCUUCCUUUUUGAAUUCUCUCUACAAACCCAUCACCAUUUUCUUGAUUCUCUCACCACCGCGCCACUCCCUGCAAAUACGGCAACGGGACCCACCGCCAAUUCCGCCGGAAAAGUACCACAUUACAUAACCAUUAUCUAAUGGGAGGGAGUGAAGACGAGUCAAUUUCUGACCUGAAGCAAGAAAUUACCCAUAAAUUUACAGAUUUCAUGACAGGGAUCGCAAAAAUUGAUGAGUUGGGAACUGCUGGAAGCAGGCUGCUGUCUGGAUUUCAACAAGCACUUGAGUUCAUUCGGAGGCCUGCUAUAGAUACAAAUUCUAAUUUAGUCAACAAAAUAAUUGCAGCUAAUGAAACUAAGAGAGUUAAAUCCUAUGUCAAUUCUGGGUGUAGGAAUCCCAAUGAUGGUGUCCAGAAUGUAACCAAUUGUAAGCAAAACUAUUCUCUCUCUCUCUAUCAAAAUUUUUCUUUCUUUUUUGGUUAAGUUUAAGAGGAGGAUAGUGUGUGAUGUGCCAUUCCAAAGUUAUGUUAUGCCAAAGCCCACCUGAGGAAUUCAGGGUGAUACCUACCAAUGAAGAACUAUCAAUGGACAACUCCUUUUAACAUUCUAAGUUAUGUCUGAUAUAUUUUUUAAAGUAAACAAACAAGUCAGAAAGGUUGUUGCUUUGUGACUUGAGGUCAUACAGGUUUUCCGCUUGUGGAGGUAAGACUUUGUAUGUCUACCCUCUCCAGACCUCAUUACGUGGGAGCCUCGUGCAUCGGGCCAACCUUUUUUUAAACAAACAAGUUUUCUGCAAGACUUAACAAUUCACUGUUCUUCUUCUUUCAAAUAAAAAAGUGAUUUCUUUUUGUGUGUACUUUAAGUUAAUAUUGGAUUCCGUAAAGCUAUGAUUAUAUCAUAAUUUCUCACAAAAUUGUGCAGUCUUACCAAGUUACUCUAACUUCUUUUUCACAAAUUUUGUUCUCAACAAAAGAUCCUACAUGUUUUUCAUGGCCUGUUUUGUGAAGCAACACCCUCAUGGUCUCUUUAUUUGGGAAACUAGAAUUGUACAGACAAGUUUUAGAAGCGUAUAGCUUUUGUAUAAGUCGAAGUAAGGCGAAAUAUAUGCGGUAAGUUUAGCAAGAGGCAAAAAGAUUGGGGAUCAUACCAUAUCACAAGUCACUAGAUUAGGUAUCUUGGGUGAAUCAAAGAAGACGAUAGGAAAUUGAUGGACAUGUAAAUCAUAGGGUUGAAGUGGGUUGGAUGAAAUGGCGUAGUGCUUCAAGUUUCAUAUGUAAUAAAAAUGUACCACUAAAGCUUAAGGGUGAGUUUUAUCACAUGACUAUAAGACCUACAAUGUUAUAUGGGAUGAAUUGUUGGGCACUAAAAUGCCAACAAGAGAAUAAACUCCAUUUAUCAGAGAUGAGAGUGUUCGUUGGAUUAGUGGACACACUAGACAAGAUAUGAUUAUUUUCUUCACUUGUAUUAGUCAGUUCACCAAAUGUCUACCAUUAACACAUUUUUUGUUGAAGUCACUAGAACUAGACAUAUCUAGUGCCUUUUGUUUAUUGGAUAAAGGACUCCUGCUUGAAACAGCACUAUAAGAUCAUCCGUUAUUAAUUCUUAAUUAAAUUCUUUUUGCUAAAAUCUAUUGCAUUUAUUUGCCCUGACUAUUUAACUGUUUCAAUAUGGCAAAAUCUACAUAUGGAAGUGCACUCAUGCAAGAAUGGACUUCUUAUCCAUAUAAGCGAAGCCAAGCUAAUACUUAAUAAACUUGAAGGUAUAUUGGGUGAUGUAACAAGUGCCAUACAGCGUACGCAUGGAAAAUUGUUAGCCCUCUCGGAUCAUGACAUUGGUGUUGAAUUUAAUGAGGUGGAGACCUAUACUGAUUUGGACGAAAAUGGCGCUUUGUCACCAACUACUGAUGUCACAACUACCAAAAAACAGAAAAAUACUGAUGUCAUACAUUUAGCUACCUUGAUGGCUAUCUUGUACAGUAUGGUCAAACAAGACUAUUUGAUGCAGGAAAAAGUUGUUUCUGCAUUAGAUCUCAAGUUGUCAUCAGGAGAACUGGAAAGUUAUUGCCAAAUGUGGUCUCUGCGUCCCUUCAUAAAUGAUGAAACAAUGCAUCAAGCUUGGGAACUUAUUCGGUGAACAGUAAUUUGUUUCUUACUUCAUAGAAUCAUUUACCAAACAUUUCUUCUGAAUCUAAGUUAAUUUUAUGUUCUGCCUUCUUGAGUAUUGGAAAAAAGUGAAACAUUUUCGGAUAAGAUUCCUUCAUCCAAAUUCUCUUGCACCUACUGGCAAGAAUCACACUCUACGCAACGUACUUCUAGUUCCUGAAAAUAGUUCUCUUAUUACUUAAGAGUGAGUCUGAAUCUAAAAGUACCCACUUAAUAGAAUGAAGAAAUACUUAAGUAAAGAGACUUUGUGAGGAUGAACUCUUUGAACUUGAUUUGGUAUCUAUUUUGAAGAGAGUUGGGUGAGAUCAUUGAUGGCUAAUUGAGUAAAGAGUACUGAGUCUGACUAAAAAUUGCUUAUGUCUCGGAUUUAGAGAGGCCAAGGUGCAAGAAUACUGACUCGGCACUCGAGUGCCGAGGUUCAAAUAUACUGACUUGAGUGUGGAAGCGAAGAUGCAAAAGAAUGCUCGGUUAAUAUUGAGAUGUAAAGAGUACAUGUAGCCUUAAGGGAAUACUUAUACAUUUUAAAUAGACUAGUGGUCGUUAUUAAGGUUUGGAUGUAAUUUAUGGUAUGGUAAUUUUUUUUGUGAGAUCUUCAAUUUUAAGCUCAUUCUAAUUUGUCUUAUUCAACUUGUGGUUCAAAAGAUUCAC
rnacentral:lncRNA from 1 species